rnacentral:lncRNA from 1 species
GCAUUCACAACUAAGAGUUUGGUUUGAGUCUCAAAGGAGACAUUGGAGUUGGAUUUCUCAGCACUCUUGAAACUGUUAAGAUUUUGUUAACUCUUGGAAAUGGACUAAAUGCAGUUUGAUAAAGAGAUGUGCAUGAGUCUUUUGGGAGCCAAGUGAAGAAUGCUAUGGUUUAGAUCAAGAAUGGCCCGAAAACUCACAUAUGCUCAGAUGUAAGGCUUUUAGAAGGUGACAAGAUCAGGUCCUUCCUCCAUGCCAUUUCUGCAUUGGAGCCUGCCAAACAUGGACUAAAACUUCUGAAAAUAUGAGCCAAAGUAAAGCUCUCCUCCUUGAAGUUGUGGAUGUCAGAUUUUCCACACCGAAACAAUUUGAUGACAGAAAUAACUCUGAAGUAAGAAUCCUGCUAAGUUUGCCUUUUGGUGGCUCAUUCUCCCAUUCAUUUAUACCCUUGAGCCACUGACUUAAACUCCCCCACACCAUUCUGUUGGAGCUCCACCUCGAUCUCUUUCCUGUUGCAGACUUUCUCAGUAUCCCCAGCAC